rnacentral:rRNA from 1 species
CAGUCGCCGCGGUAAUACGUAGGGUGCAAGCGUUAAUCGGAAUUACUGGGCAUAAAGCGUGCGCAGGCGGUUAUAUAAGACAGAUGUGAAAUCCCCGGGCUCAACCUGGGAACUGCAUUUGUGACUGUAUAGCUAGAGUACGGCAGAGGGGGAUGGAAUUCCGCGUGUAGCAGUGAAAUGCGUAGAUAUGCGGAGGAACACCGAUGGCGAAGGCAAUCCCCUGGGCCUGUACUGACGCUCAUGCACGAAAGCGUGGGGAGCAAACAGGAUUAGAUACCCCUGUAGUCCCUGUCUCUUAUAC